GAAUCAUCUCUCGCGAUGGAUGGGCGUGCGAUUCGUGCGUACGGCGAGGUAAACAGUGUGCCUGAUCAAUCAACCGUAGCAUAAUUCUCGCUCGCCUUGAACCUUGAUCCCGUCGGAUCUGCGUGUCGAAAAACUUUCGAAAGAAUGUCUCACGGGGCUUCGUUCUUGUUUCGCAUUAACGUGUGUUUGCGACCUACUUCCUUACACAACCGUGGAAUUUCACUUGCCAAUGGACGAGGUGGCCGAUAAUGAGUCUCACUGCUCGCGGACGUCACGUUCGAUUUUUUUUUUAUCUUAUCUGGUUAGUAACAGUCGCAAUGGCAGCGCGAAACUUUUGAUUUGCAAAAUUUAUUCCCAAUCAUUCUGCAGGUCUGUUUAAAAUGCAGCUUUUUGCGAUAUAAUGUUUUUGUAGAUACACAGCGUUAUAUGUCUACGAAUGCAAUCUUUCUGGAUUUUUAAAUAUAUUUUUUUGGUGUGUACAACACCGUUUGAAGAAGAUGUCUGUUACAUAUUUUUUAAAAUGUUUGACGACACUACGAUGUCGAAAUUCUAGUUUCGCAAAAAUUACGAGUUUUAAUUACGAUUUUGGCUUCACCACUGACAUCCGCAUCUUUAUUUCGGUCCCGAAAUAUAUGAAUACACGGCUGCACUGAUUUUGAAGUUAAUUUCUCUUCGAUAAUUCGUAUAGAAGAACAUCAUAUCGACGAGAAAAGUGAUCUAGCAUUGCUCGUUAAUGGGAACGAUGAAAACGAGGCCUCGAAAUGUUGGCACACACAACGCGCAACAACUACGAUCGACGACCGCUGAAGGUUCACUGAGACGCGAUUUUACCGGCCGUAGCCGGCCGAGAGACAGUUAAGGCUUUCUAACCCGCGUCUCUUUCCCCACCAUCACGUGCCCUCGUUGUCGUCACGCUCGUGAUAUUGAAAAAUUUAUGAAAGGGUCGCAGGAGUUCGAGCGAUUUGCGAUACAUUAUCAGUGCAGCUACACAAGAUAAUCGAAGAUUAGUAAAUAUAAUGCAUAUGCACUGUACGUGCAAACAAAUUUUGUUAUUUCUUAUUAUCUUCUUAUUCAUUUUUGUUAUUUGAAAAAUUAAAAUUGUUAGAUUAUUUAGAAUGUUUUUAUAAUCAAUCGUUUUGUAAGAAGAGGACGGUCUCUCAUAUUUCCGUAAUUAUAUUCAUUCAUUUUUCUGUAAUUAUAUCUAAUAAAUUUUAAUGAAGCUAUU